rnacentral:lncRNA from 1 species
ACGAAAUUGAAGAAGAAACACCAUGAAAUCAUCAACCCUAGCUUGACUUGACCUUCAGCUCCAAAAGAGUUUCUAGAGAGAAGACUUUGGGAAAGAAAGGAAAUAGGGUUUUGAUUUAGGGUCUAAAGAGAGUAAAUGACUUGUUAAAACACUUAAAACCAUAUAUAUUUAUCAUAUAAACCAUUUAAAAUCAACCCCAAAUAAUAAAACAUUAAAACGAAAUUACCAAC